CAGCCCUGGGAUGGCUGCUUGAGUCUGCUUGUCCGUUCUUUCCUCAGCUGCUCUCCUGGUCUCUCAUCCUGCUGCUGACUGCUCCCUCCUCCUCACAGCGUCCCGGUGGCUUCUCUGACAGCUCCGGAAGACACUCAGAGAGAAGCUUGGUGACAUGCAGAGGAGAAGCUGAGACGGUGGGCUCCAGGACAAUACUGGGUCCACACCCUGGGUCUGCCACUCACUGGAAGCCUCCCAUGGGAUCACCAUUCCAGCCAACAAAGCUCCAGGGAAACACUGAAAACCUUCCUUUUGGAGGAGAAGAAAAACUUUGGAAAAAACCAUAGAUCACGCCACUUUGGAUCAUGCAUUUCUCUUACUUUGUCAGAACAACAGUAUAAAAUUAAUUUUAUUUCCAAGGACUGUAAUGCCACACUACUAAAUUUAAAUUCACAUUUUUUUUUUUCCAAAGAGAGUUUUAAAAAACAUUUCGGAACUACUACUUAUGUGAAACAAAUCUCUGCAUGGAGCAAUGGCCAAAUAUGUACAAGAAUUUUGUACAGGAUGAAAAUGUGAUGCCGGAAUUUCAAUUUGCCACAACUAUUUUACCCAAAGUUCACCAUGCUUCGUGGUUCUUGUGACAUGAUAGAUCUUGGCUGGUUUCCCUUCAGCAGGAUGGUCAUGAAGGAAGAUCAUUCCUCGAAGAGCUGCUUUGCUUGCUUUGGUUUAAUCAUUCUCUCCUGCCGGUCAGCAACCUUGUUGCCUAAAACGGAUUGACUCAGAGAUUGGGGUCAGCGGCCUGGGCUGUUGGCUGAGGACUGGGGAUGCAGGGGUGGAGGGCAAGGCUCGGAAGCUUGAAGGCCUGAUGGGCAGGCUCCGUGGGGGAAGUUGGCUGCCCUGGUUGAGAGAUUGGUAAUGUUUCGUGGGAUGAAUCUGAGCUUACCCGGCUAUGUCUUUUCACCAUAUUAGACGUUCUGAA